rnacentral:rRNA from 1 species
AUUGAACGCUGGUGGCAGGCCUAACACAUGCAAGUCGAGCGGAUGAAGAGAGCUUGCUCUCUGAUUCAGCGGCGGACGGGUGAGUAAUGCCUAGGAAUCUGCCUGGUAGUGGGGGACAACGUUUCGAAAGGAACGCUAAUACCGCAUACGUCCUACGGGAGAAAGUGGGGGAUCUUCGGACCUCACGCUAUCUGAUGAGCCUAGGUACGAUUAGCUAGUUGGUGAGGUAAAGGCUCACCAAGGCGACGAUCGUUAACUGGUCUGAGAGGAUGAUCAGUCACACUGGAACUGAGACACGGUCCAGACUCCUACGGGAGGCAGCAGUGGGGAAUAUUGGACAAUGGGCGAAAGCCUGAUCCAGCCAUGCCGCGUGUGUGAAGAAGGUCUUCGGAUUGUAAAGCACUUUAAGUUGGGAGGAAGGGCAGUAAGUUAAUACCUUGCUGUUUUGACGUUACCGACAGAAUAAGCACCGGCUAACCUCGUGCCAGCAGCCGCGGUAACAC